rnacentral:rRNA from 1 species
UACAGAGGGUGCGAGCGUUAAUCGGAAUUACUGGGCGUAAAGCGCGCGUAGGCGGCUUUGCAAGUCGGGUGUGAAAUCCCCAAGCUCAACUUGGGAACUGCAUUCGAGACUGCUUUGCUAGAGUAUGGGAGAGGGAAGUGGAAUUUCAGGUGUAGCGGUGAAAUGCGUAGAUAUCUGAAGGAACAUCAGUGGCGAAAGCGACUUCCUGGACCAAUACUGACGCUCAUGUGCGAAAGCGUGGGGAGCAAACAGG